rnacentral:rRNA from 1 species
GACGAACGCUGGCGGCGUGCUUAACACAUGCAAGUCGAACGGAAAGGCCCUGCUUUUGUGGGGUGCUCGAGUGGCGAACGGGUGAGUAACACGUGAGUAACCUGCCCUUGACUUUGGGAUAACUUCAGGAAACUGGUGCUAAUACCGGCUAGGAGCUCCUGCUGCAUGGUGGGGGUUGGAACGCUUCGGCGGUUGGGGAUGGACUCGCGGCUUAUCAGCUUGUUGGUGGGGUAGUGGCUUACCAAGGCUUUGACGGGUAGCCGGCCUGAGAGGGUGACCGGCCACAUUGGGACUGAGAUACGGCCCAGACUCCUACGGGAGGCAGCAGUGGGGAAUAUUGCACAAUGGGCGGAAGCCUGAGGCAGCAGCGCCGCGUGCGGGAUGACGGCCUUCGGGUUGUAAACCGCUUUCGCCUGUGACGAAGCGUGAGUGACGGUAAUGGGUAAAGAAGCACCGGCUAACUACGUG